rnacentral:lncRNA from 1 species
GCCCAACAUUUCAGCUUACGGAGAUAAUGACAUUAAUGCUACGGAAAAGAAUGGAGACACUAAAGAUUUUGAACCUAGACCCAACAUUUCAGCUUAUGGAGACAAUGAGAUUGAUGUUAAAGAAAAGAAGGGAGCCGCUAAAGAUUUUGAACCAAGACCCAACAUUUCAGCUUAUGGAGACAAUGAUAUUGAUGUCAAGGAAAAGAAGGGAGCCACUAAAGAUUUUGAACCAAGACCAAACAUUUCAGCUUAUGGAGACAAUGACAUAGAUGUGAAUGAAAAGAAGGGAGCUGCUAAAGAUUUUGAACCACGACCCAACAUUUCAGCUUAUGGAGACAAUGACAUAGAUGUUAAUGAAAAGAAGGGAGCUACUAAAGAUUUUGAACCACGACCCAACAUUUCAGCUUAUGGAGACAAUGAGAUUGAUGUUAAGGAAAAGAAGGGAGCCACUAAAGAUUUUGAACCACGACCAAACAUUUCAGCUUAUGGAGACAAUGACAUAGAUGUGAAUGAAAAGAAGGGAGCUGCUAAAGAUUUUGAACCACGACCCAACAUUUCAGCUUAUGGAGACAAUGACAUAGAUGUUAAUGAAAAGAAGGGAGCUACUAAAGAUUUUGAAC